UGGGGAAUAUUGGGCAAUGGGCGCAGGCCUGACCCAGCAACGCCGCGUGAGGGAAGAAGGCCUUCGGGUUGUAAACCUCUGUCCUUGGUGACGAAACAAAUGACGGUAGCCAAGGAGGAAGCCCCGGCUAACUACGUGCCAGCAGCCGCGGUAAUACGUAGGGGGCGAGCGUUGUCCGGAAUUACUGGGCGUAAAGGGUGCGUAGGUGGCCUUUUAAGUUGGAUGUGAAAUACCCGGGCUUAACUUGGGGGGUGCAUCUAAUACUGGGAGGCUAGAGUGCAGGAGAGGGAAGCGGAAUUCCUAGUGUAGCGGUGAAAUGCGUAGAUAUUAGGAGGAACACCAGUGGCGAAGGCGGCUUUCUGGACUGUAACUGACACUGAGGCACGAAAGCGUGGGGAGCAAACAG
rnacentral:rRNA from 1 species